GAUGAACGCUGGCGGCGUGCCUAAUACAUGCAAGUCGAGCGAACAGACGAGGAGCUUGCUCCUCUGACGUUAGCGGCGGACGGGUGAGUAACACGUGGAUAACCUACCUAUAAGACUGGGAUAACUUCGGGAAACCGGAGCUAAUACCGGAUAAUAUAUUGAACCGCAUGGUUCAAUAGUGAAAGACGGUUUUGCUGUCACUUAUAGAUGGAUCCGCGCCGCAUUAGCUAGUUGGUAAGGUAACGGCUUACCAAGGCGACGAUGCGUAGCCGACCUGAGAGGGUGAUCGGCCACACUGGAACUGAGACACGGUCCAGACUCCGACGGGAGGCAGCAGUAGGGAAUCUGCCGCAAUGGGCGAAAGCCUGACGGAGCAACGCCGCGUGAGUGAUGAAGGUCUUCGGAUCGUAAAACGCUGUUAUUAGGGAAGAACAAAUGUGUAAGUAACUAUGCACGUCUUGACGGUACCUAAUCAGAAAGCCACGGCUAACUACGU
rnacentral:rRNA from 1 species